GCCCGGGUGGCGGAAUGGUAUACGCGGCAGACUUAAAAUCUGUUGCCUGCAUAAGGCGUGAGGGUUCGAGUCCCUCCUCGGGCA
rnacentral:tRNA from 1 species